rnacentral:rRNA from 1 species
CACGUAGGGCGCGAGCGUUGUCCGGAAUUAUUGGGCGUAAAGAGCUCGUAGGCGGUCUGUCGCGUCGGAUGUGAAAACCCAGGGCUCAACCCUGGGCCUGCAUUCGAUACGGGCAGACUAGAGUGUGGCAGGGGAGACUGGAAUUCCUGGUGUAGCGGUGAAAUGCGCAGAUAUCAGGAGGAACACCGGUGGCGAAGGCGGGUCUCUGGGCCAAUACUGACGCUGAGGAGCGAAAGCGUGGGGAGCGAACAGG